rnacentral:rRNA from 1 species
GCGGUGGCGGAGCGUCGUUUGCGACGCCCAACACACAAAACAAGCGGUGAGUGCUUUGGGGUGGGGUGACUGCGUACCUUUUGUAUAAUGGGUCAGCGACUUAUAUUCUGUAGCAAGGUUAACCGUAUAGGGGAGCCGAAGGGAAACCGAGUCUUAACUGGGCGUUAAGUUGCAGGGUAUAGACCCGAAACCCGGUGAUCUAGCCAUGGGCAGGUUGAAGGUUGGGUAACACUAACUGGAGGACCGAACCGACUAAUGUUGAAAAAUUAGCGGAUGACUUGUGGCUGGGGGUGAAAGGCCAAUCAAACCGGGAGAUAGCUGGUUCUCCCCGAAAGCUAUUUAGGUAGCGCCUCGUGAACUCAUCUUCGGGGGUAGAGCACUGUUUCGGCUAGGGGGUCAUCCCGACUUACCAACCCGAUGCAAACUGCGAAUACCGAAGAAUGUUAUCACGGGAGACACACGGCGGGUGCUAACGUCCGUCGUGAAGAGGGAAACAACCCAGACCGCCAGCUAAGGUCCCAAAGUCACAGUUAAGUGGGAAACGAUGUGGGAAGGCUCAGACAGCCAGGAUGUUGGCUUAGAAGCAGCCAUCAUUUAAAGAAAGCGUAAUAGCUCACUGGUCGAGUCGGCCUGCGCGGAAGAUGUAACGGGGCUAAACUGUGCACCGAAGCUGCGGCAGCGACGCUUAUGCGUUGUUGGGUAGGGGAGCGUUCUGUAAGCCUGCGAAGGUGUCCUGUGAGGGAUGCUGGAGGUAUCAGAAGUGCGAAUGCUGACAUAAGUAACGAUAA